UGCCCUGAAAUUUUUGUUAACAAAGAAACAUUAUAAUUCAUAUGUAUAUAAAAACAAGGAGACGUGGUAUGAUUGCUAAUGAGACAACUAUCCACCAGAUUGUAAAUGAAUAAGAUAUAAGGAAUUACCUUUAUGCAUGUAAUAGAAAUAAUAAAAUUUAACACCUUUUCAUCAGAAUCAUCAUUUUUUUUUAUUACUACUGAUGUUUGAUAUUAAUGCUAUCCUUUCAAAUAAAAUGCUCCGCUGGGGCGCAGCUUGAUACGACUGCAGAGGUCGAACCCUGAACAGUUGGGGCAAGUAUGGACACAACAUUCAAGCUUGAUACAGCUCUGAAUUUGGAUUGUUAUUAAAUAUUUGACACAGCAUAGGUUUCUGACACAGAAAGAAUGUGGUCUAAGAACUUGAAUUUUUUUAAUUUACCUAUUAUGGUCCAAUGUCCAAAAUCAAAAUACAUGGUUAGAUUCAGCAUAUCAAAGAACCCCAUAUAUUCAAUUUUUGUUAAAAUCAAACAAAGUUUAAUUUUGGACCCCAACUUGGACAAACUUGAAAACUGGGCCCAUAAUCAAAAAUCUAAACACAUGUUUAGAUUCAGCAUAUCAAAAAACCCCAAGAAUUCAAUUUUUGUUAAAAUCAAACUAAGUUUAAUUUUGGACCCUUUGGACCUUAAUGUAGACCAAUUUAAAAAACGGGACCCAAAAUUAAAAAUCUAAAAACACGGUUACAUUUGGCAUAUCAAAGAACCCCAAUAAUUCAAUUUUUGAUGAAAUCAAACAAAGUUUAAUUUUGGACCCUUUUGACCACAAUAUGAACCAAUUUGAUAGCGGGCCUACAAAAUAAAAAAUCUAAAUAAAUGGUAAGAUUCAGCAUAUCAAAGAACCCCAUAUAUUCAAUUUUUGUUGAAAUCAAACAAAGUUUAAUUUUGGACCCCAAUUUGGACCAACUUGAAAACUGGGCCAAAAAUCUAAAAUCUAAAUACAUGCUUAGAUUCAGCAUAUCAAUGAACCCCAUAUAUUCAAUUUUUGUAAAAAUCAAACAAAGUUUAAUUUUGGACCCCAACUUGGACCAACUUGAAAACUGGGCCCAUAAUCAAAAUUCUAAACACAUGUUUAGAUUCAGCAUAUCAAAGAACCCCAAGAAUUCAAUUUUUGUUAAAAUCAAACUAAGUUUAAUUUUGGACCCUUUGGACCUUAAUGUAGACCAAUUUAAAAACGGGACCCAAAAUUAAAAAUCUAAAUACACGGUUAGAUUUGGCAUAUCAAAGAACCCCAAUAAUUCAAUUUUUGAUGAAAUCAAACAAAGUUUAAUUUUGGACCCUUUUGACCUCAAUAUGAACCAAUUUGAUAGCGGGUCCACAAAUAAAAAAUCUAAUUACAUGGUUAGAUUCAGCAUAUCAAAGAACCCCAAGAAUUCAAUUUUUGAUGAAAUCAAACAAAGUUUAAUUUUGGACCCUUUUGACCUCAAUGUGGACAAAGUUGAUAACGGGGCCUAAAAAUCAAAAAUCUAAAUACAUGGUUAGAUUCAGCAUAUCAAAGAACCCCAUAUAUUCAAUUUUUGUUGAAAUGAAACAAAGUUUAAUUUUGGACCCUGAUUUGGACCAACUUGAAAACUGGGCCCAUAAUCAAAAAUCUAAAUACAUGUUUAGAUUCAGCAUAUCAAAGAACCCUAUAAAUUCAAUUUUUGUUAAAAUCAAACUAAGUUUAAUUUU